ensembl:lncRNA
CCCCUGUAAGUUCCCAUUUUUUUCUGUGGGGAUGUUACUGGUCUUUGAGGUCGCUCACCCACUACCUCCGCCACUUCCCCCUCCAAGUGCCUCCCCUAUGAAGUUCAGGCUGCAUCGCUGUGCUGUGUGUACUUGCUUGUGAUGAGCCCACAAGUUACCCAGGAACAAGGCAGAGCCCCCACCAAACACCCAUCUUCUCCCACCUACGUUCACAGCAGAUCUGGUUUUACAACACACAAGAAUCACACCAAUGAGGAGCUUUUCAAUUUUUAUUAAUACGAAAUCUUAAGGUUUUAGGAGUGAGGCUUCUCUAAAUGCCAGAUGCACAAGAAACACCUGAAAACGAAAGACAGGGCAGUUAUAUGAGGUUUUCCGGUUUCCAUGUGAAUGCAAACGGACUCCAGGCUCUGACAAUUCAGCCGAGCUGACACUCCUCCACUGGCAGCUUGCCCCUCCCCCGACUCCAGAGCCGCCUCCUGAACAGGAGGAGGGAAACGGAAAGGAGAGUCCUGAAGGCAGAGGGUACAGUCAAGCACAGACGCCGCAGGGAUUCGAACCCCGUCCUGGAAACCAGGAGUGCCAACCACCAGCAUCUUUUGCUUUUUUUUUUUAAGCUAGGAAAAGGCCAAAAAGCAAAACCUGAGAAAACAAAAGAUUUUGUUUUCUCAGGAAAAGAAAAACCUUUUACAACCCUAUGGAAGGGCACUGCUGGAGAAUCUGCUUCAGCUAAGCUGCUAGCUUGGCCAAGUCUGUUAUGUUCACCUGAAAAAGUCUUAGCAGAGAGUUUUUGCAAUCCCACCCAACGCCCUCUCAACCACUGAAAUAAAAUGCCUAUCUCCUUCAGUUUUUACGUUCUAUCUUCCCACCCAACAUUACAGUUCUUAAACAUUGCUCUCCAUUCACUGGUUUAAAUUUGUACACUUAAAACAUCAGAGGUUUUAGUUGUGGUUUUAAUAACCUUAACCAUUUGCAAGCACGUUAAUGGCCUUUUCUAGUAGUGCAACCCACCGGAAGACCUCGCACCACUGUUACCUUGAAACUGACAAUGGAUCAUGCCCACAAGGAUCCAAGCUACCGGCAGCAUCGAGGUGAGGGGUGAAGGGUCUGCGCUAGGCCAAAGGCAGGGGGUGGCGAUGUGGCAGAGAAGUCACUUGUGGGGAGACCUUGCUUUUAACAGGCUUCUGGAAAAGCUAGGGAAAAGUGGUUGCCCGCUUUCCCCCUUUCCCUCCCCUUCAAGCAUCACUUGAAGUUUGGGCUUUAGUAACAGCUGCUAUAAAAACAGCUUAUGGGUUAGGACAAGCCCAGGGGUAUACAAGGUACUCAAGCAUUCCUCUGGAUGCUUCAGGCCCAAAGAGCCUCAGUGCAUGUCUGCCAAGGGCGCUGAGGCAAGUCCUCAGAGGUCUACGAGAAGACGGGGCGCGUUAUGAGGCCGACGCCAUUUGCAGUGACCUUAGUGUAAUAGCGCUUUGUUGUCUCUCUUGCCACAGGAAGGCUGCGUGGUUGUCCUACUUUAAGCCUUCGGUGCCUUUAGUGAGGGGUACCUGAAAAAUCUUAAAAAAAGGCUUAGCGCCCACCUCACCCCUCCACCCCCAGGCCAACAACCAACCUGCUCACAUGCUAUCUACUCCAGCAUAAAGCUGCAAGUCUGUAACACUAAAGGAUUUACCCAACGGAUCUGGCUUAAUAUGUAAACAUAGAAAAAGCUUGUUCACCUGUUGUCCUCAUUUUGUCCACUGGUGAAUUCAACUGGAAGCUCCUUUUAUAGUCUGAAGAAUACCAUCUGAAAGAACUAGUGGUUCCCAAUCCCCACAUUUAAAAUGGAAUCUUUGUUUAAAGUAAAUAAGCUAUUUUUCCUUACUGGGUCUGGCUUCUCUGGCCCUUCGUGUACGUCUGCUGUUUUGAAUGUUCCUGUGUGUAAGAAUUAACACGAAGGGAGGGGAGAGAGAAACCCACAAAGACAAUACACUAAGACCACUGAACUCUUCAACAUUUCCACUUGCCAGUUAAAUUUCCUGAAGACUGUGGCUUGUUUGGAAUUUAUUUCUUGACUCUGAUUUUAAGGUUGCAUCUGGAAAAGACUAAAGGCUUCAGUGCCCUCCCCACCCCCCUACCAGAAGUGAACAAAAAAGCAUUUUACCUAAGCACAGCAAAAGGUACUUGGCUUCAAUCACAAACAUGAAUGCUUAAAGCUGCAGAAAUUUCCUCAACACUCAGCCUUUAUCACUCAGCUGGAUUUUCCUUCAACAAUCACUACUCCAAGCAGUGGGGGAAAACACAACUUUUAAUCAUACUCCAGUCGUUUCACAAUGCAUUCUAAUAGCAGCAGAUCAGAACAGUACUGCGUUAUUACUUGCCAACAGAACAGACAGACCUGAGGUCAAGACAACUGCGUUCUCUGUGUAGUCUGCAAAAAAAAACUAAAACAAGUAAGCCCCACCCCCCUCCUCCCUUCCCUCCAAAAUCAGGGGGAAAAAAUGUACUCAAGUAUGCUGAUAAACUCACUGCAAGGUCUCUCACACACUCACUAGGAGAAUAGAAGGCAGAGCCAAGCGCUUAUAUGCAAGUCAAUAUUCUGAACAGCUUCAUGAAGGAUGAAAUGAAGCUUCUGCAAAGGAAAAUUCUUUAAAAACCCACAAGACCCCCAAGUGCCUAAUAGUACAAACACUGGCUAACACUAGAUGAGAUGGUUUAUAAGCAUUUAAAGUUAACAUGCAAACUUUGGAAACGUGACAGAAUCAUUACUCUCGUGUAACAAGGCUCAAUUUAGACUCCUGUCCAGAACAGGGUAGGUGUAGUUACCUGUUAUUCUGAUCAUAAUCUCCCACCUGUCUAAGUAGUAUUUAUUCCUUAUUUAGAGGGCCUCUAUUGCCAUAUGCCUGGAAUUAUUAAAAUGCUCAUCACUUUACGAAGGAUAAAAUUUGUCUUUCCUGCCUUAAGAAAGUUAAGUUCGUUCUUCCGCUCAAUUCCUGAUCUUUCUUGUCCAUUAAAGAGUGUUCGAAGACAAAGUUUCUGAAAGAUGAGAAGAAUCCCCCCAAGAUUGCCCAGCACUAACUACAAACAAACAAUAUUUUAUUUAAAUAAGGAGACAGCUUUCUAAAAGCAUACAUUCUCUAUUAAAAUGUUUUAUUUUGAACGAUUUAAUGGUUUUCUAUACAAUAUACAUCACAUUUAAAUUUUAGCAACAUUAAAAUAUCUGAUUGUUUUAACAGCACUUUACGCUAUCUUUUCAUAGGGUUUUCAGAGAUUCAAUGCUAAACAAAUUCUCUUAGUUUAUGUUACCUUAUGAAUAAGGCACUAAUCUCAAGAGGCUUUUAAGGAAUUACUUGCCUCUGAGUGAGGUGUGCUAGCCCAUCAUGGAAGCCCACAGGCACGAGUUGUGUCUAAUUUUAAAAAGGCUAGACGGGAAAAUUCCUCAUAAUCCUGGAAUCCCCUAGGGAAGGGAUCAGGAAAAAUGGCCAAGUUCAAUAUUUAAGAACUUCUUAAUAAAAAUAAGCACUUAUCCCUAACAUGCAAUACUGCAGAUGCAAGUUAAACUUAUCUGUUAACAGUUGCCUGCUGUUUUCUGCUCCCAGAUGGAAUGAAGCAACUCUUCUGAUAAUGAAGAGAAACCUGUCUGAGGUAAACGAAAGAUUGGCAACAGCACAGCUUCCUCUCAAUCCACUUGAUCCCACUCAUCUCUGAAUUACUUGAGCUUCUUUUAUUCCAGGAUUAAUGUAGUAUCAUUUUCAUUUCAUUUCGCUUUUUUAUUCUGCUUUUGUAAAAGCAGUAAUUGGAGAUGGACAUUUGAUCUUCAUUGUAUUUCUCAUCAAUUCGUUACUUUUGUAGGUAUAAGCUUGAUAAAGCAUUAACUUUAAAAUAGUAGAUUCCAUUAACUUUAAAAUGGUGGAUUCCAUUAACUUUAAAUUGGUAGAUUCCAUUAACUUUAAAAUGGUAGAUUCCAUUAACUUUAAAUUGGUAGAUUCCAUUAACUUUAAAUUGGUAGUUUUCAUUGGCUCAAUUUUUUUUUGACAUAUGCAGACAAUGUGUUCAUCAGUAGUAAGGAUCUCAGGGUUACGCUUUUCCCCCAAUGGAGAUAUGAAAUAUAAUCUUUUCUGCCUUUACUUAUCAUUCACCAAGGAGCUGUUCCCUCUCCAUCUAGGCCAUCAUAUUGCCAGGCUGGUUAUGACUCAGAAGACGUUAUCUGAAAAAAGUCUACAGAAAAAAAAAAGGUUUCCCCUCCCUCAUCAACAAAAGCCCGCCCUCUUUUAUCAGUUAUGAUUUACAAAUAGGUAAGAUACAAAUGUAAAAUACACAAUUCACAAUAAUUUUGAAGCAUACCUUAACAUCUCCUUUUGCAUUCAUAGGAAGGAAAAAUCUUUCCUACACUAAAAAAACCUUGUUUAUACACAACUGAAAAUAGAAUCUUACUUGAUAAUAUAAAAGCUACCAUCAGAAGAAAUCCCUUCAGGAUCAUUAAGCCACUUCCUUUGCUCUGAAGCUCCUAUAGCAGUAUUAAGUAAUAUUAAAUCACCUGAAAAAAAUUCCAAAAGAGAACCACACACUCCCAUAGCUGAACAACUUUGGCAUUUUAAAAUACUCCCAAGAUUUUAUCUAAGUCAGCCCCGAGGGCUAGACCAACCCCCAGUCUAACAUUUUCCUUCCCCAGGCCCUACACAUUGAAUCCAGAGGAACUUUAUGAACUUCCUCAGUUGCCCAAUUCAAAAAUUGGGGGAAAACAAAACCUAGAGGACGGGAAGUUACUUGCCAACUUGGAAGUUGAGAUUUCCUUAGUUUUUCCAUCCUAAGUAUUUAAGUUCUCUGCAUGAGUUAUCUGAAAUCAUAAACUAAACAAUUACCUAAACCCAACCCUCCCAAUCCCAACCAUAACAGGCCACUGCCAACUACUAAUUGCCAAAAAUUUGCCCACCCCCUUUUAAGAAAGGUAUUUUAAAAGUCACAUUAUUUGAAAACUUAACUUCAACAUCUGACCUAGUCAAGCUCUUCUGAAGUUCUCCUGAGAUGACUGAAUAUGAACCAAAGCUGCACUGUGCUGUAAUUUCAGCUUCAACUGGGAAUACUCUUCCAAGGGAAAAAGCAGCUCCAAUCCCUGAAGGCGUUCGUGCCAACAGCAUAGCAGUACAAUCCUUCUCUAACCCAGUUUGUCAAUAGCACUAUAGCAUCUGUGGAAAUCUUAGAAAAAACACAUUUCCUCCCCCACCCUCUUCCCUGGUAAGACCACUCCAAAAUACUCCAAGUAAAAAUAAUGUUUAAGGGGUUACAUACUUUGAAGAUCUGAUUAAGGGGUGGAAAAAAGAAUAACUACCAGCCAUUUCUCCAAUGGAUAAUUCCGCCACACACCUCAAAGUGAGAGCUGCUCGUGUUCUAGUUUCUAGAAACUGUAAACCUGUGGUGUUCUGAUUAUCCUGAUACUGGAUUUUCCUUUUUUCUGUUAACUUGAGUCAUCUAUUCACAGAACUGAAAUGCUUCAUUACUCCAAGCUAAAAAUAGAAACUGCGUAUAAAACUUGCCAACAUUUGUCUCAAAGUUGUUCUAUCAAAUUCAUUUGGUUUCCCUCAGAUCGGUUUUUUAAAAAAAAAAACUUGCCAUCUACCAUUCCUCCGGGCUUGGAAGUCUGCCCUCAAAAGCUUCAGACAAGAUGAGAAAACAAGCCUGAAAAAGAAAAACCUACGACACCCGGAAAUCGGCCUACAUCCCCGUAGUAAAUCCCUUGACGCUUAAGUACGCAACUCCCCCGUUACCGUUAGGAAAAUAAGGAAAGGUUACCACGCUCAAGUUACCAAAAACAACCCAGCACGGUACUGCCGACCUCGCGGAUCUUUACCACGCCACUCGCUCUCCCCGCGGCCUCGCACACCGGGCGCUGCUCUAGGAUGCUCUAGCUAGCCUCCACUCCGCCUGCUCGCCGCCGCCGCGGGGUCGCCAAGCCAAGCCGCCCGCUAGCUUCAUCACACAGCACAGGCUCCUGCUUCCCGGACUCUGGCCUAGCUGCGCCUCCACGCGUUAGCGCUCCUUCCUUCUUCCUAGCUGCCUUCACCACAAGCACUGGCUCCCGGGCUCCUUCCUAUCUUCACCGCGAACGGCCGCUCGGCCUCCGUCCUAGCUUCAGCACACUGGCUCCCGGGAUCCUGUCUGCCGCUCCUGUCUUCCUAGAUCACUGAAUCCACUUCUGCGUAGCACCUGCGUCAGCUGUCAAUUAACGCUAGUCCUCGGCAUUUAAAUCAUCUGAGCUCAAAGUCCAGCGCCAAAUGGUUAAACUGCUGAGUAUUCUUGAUCUUGAAUUGUUAUCAAAGUCCUUUAAAUUUUCCAAAGAAAACUAAGCUACUAUAUUUAAGGCAUUUCAAAUUUUUAACUCUUCCACAACCAUUCUUAAUUUUUAUUAAAUUACUUCAGUCCUCUUAGUAGCUUUUGGCUGAGAUUUUUAACUGAUUUCUCUUCUAGCUUCCGGAAAUUCUUCUAAAUUGGUCCUGGUCUACAGUAGUUUAACCCUCAUCUUCUCAAUUCUAACUUCCGCAUCACCGGAGAUUAAAUUGAUAGGCUUUUAAAAAAUUCCUAUCACUAUAAAAAGCUAAUUUCCUCUGUUUUUCUGCUCUUGUACUUUAUCCAAUUUUUUAGCUUUAAAUUUUUCUAAUUUUUUCAUGUCUAUCUUGUAUGCUCGUAUCCAAUAGUUUGUCCUAGCUUUUCAUUUUCUAUCUGAAACACUUCUCCUUGACUGUAUUUUCAACCUUGUUUUUUCUCUCUUCUGGUUUCCUACUUAAUUUCUAUCUGGGCCUUUAGUUGCUUUGGUUUCCUAAUUUGUCUAAGUACUUUUUCUUCUGCUUCCUACCUUUUGGCUUUGAAAUUAGUUUUUCUGUCUUCUAGAGGCGUCUUAUCUUCUAUUUUUCCUAUCUUCUAAGUCUUUUCUUCACCUUCCUGUACUUCUGUCUUCUGUGUUUUCCACUUCUAAUUUCUAAUCUUCUUUCUCCAAAUUUUUAUCCUGCCACUCCCAAUUACUAUUUCCAUCAAUUUUUAGCAAAUAAUGCCAUAAGACCAACUAGGCUUCAAAUCACCUUUCCUGCGCCACGAAUAUGAAGGUCUCGCUCUUAAAUCACCUUUAAUCUUUUUAAGAGACGGCGUUUAAAAUAUUUUCGUCAUCUAAAACCUCAUUUUCUAAAACGUUUAGGUUCUAUUUACGUCAUCUGCGUUUUAAAGUUAAUCUAAAACGCUGCUCUUCAAUUUAAUGCCGUUUUGAUUUCGGACUUCGCAGUCCUUUCAGCUAUUUAAAAUUAUCUCACUCCAUUACUAAGCUUCAUCUCUUAACCUCCCUCAUAUUCUAGAAAUAUCUUUUUUCUUCUCUCCUCCUUUCUCAAACUACUUUUCAAGUCAGUCUUCAUUAUUUUCCCUUCGGCAAGAUCUUAUUAUCGAAACUACUUUAAAAACUUAAUGCUAAGCAUUAACUUAAAUAUUCUCGCUAUUUACAUCUCCUAAAGAAUUGUACUAACUUCUAUCAUUUCUAACAAAGCAACUUAUCUGCGGUUUCCUUAAGCAGCUCCUCCUCCCUCUCCAGCCACCUCUGCGCUCGCUGCCUGAAUGCCUGCCGCUGCGUCCGGAGCCGCGUAUUUAUAGACCAAGGACAACUCACCCCGCUGAAUUUAAUAACCCUCCGCCGUCUUUGUGAGGGAAGCAAAAAUAGUCCCUCGGAAGUGUUAAAAAUAGAAUUUCGUUUAGAAGCCUUUCUAGAUUUUUCUAAAAGCUUAUGCAACUUGUCUGUAAACUAUGUAUCCAGAAAUAUUUAAGACUUAUUAGCAAGUAGAUUUGAGCUCAAAAUUUAGGUGAAAAUCACAUAGAAGUAGACCCUCCAACAGUUCACAAAAACUCAGAGCCAUUACUUGGGACUUGCUUGAUAAUUCUUGAGUACCUUUUAAGGCUUUCUGGAGCCCGGUAGGUACUCGUUAGUGCUUUUUGAAGGGGGGUUACAAUGGCGUUUCUGACGGCCUGAGUUUCCAUUACGUGGCUGAGCCUCAGCCUUGCAACACCCCAGCCAUUUUAGAAGCUGUAACAAAGUGGUGGGGGGGGGGUCUCCCCAAACUGCGUCAACUCCCGCCAGUUGUCCUGUGGCUCUGUACACGUUUGGAUGGCCCUUUGAUUCCAGAAAUCUGGGUUAUCUUCUUUAAAAUUCUCCUAAAUUUGGAAAUGCACUUAAGAAAAUGUCUCCAGAAGCCACAACCCAUAUCGGGGGCCUGCUAAGCUCUGAGGUGGCGGCUGGGCUGUUCCCUGUCUUACAUGUUUCAUGUCCUUCUGGCAGCUUCUGGAGUUACCAAAUGCCAGCUCGACCCCUCGGCUCUGGGUUGCCUGCUGUGACAUUUUACAUCAAGCCUGGAGUAGCUUUUUGUUUGCAAAAGUGACCCGUGUCUACACUUCCCCGGCUUCCCUCUCUUUAAAGCCAAAUCUAAGUCCCCUGUGAACACCUAGGUUUAGUGUCCUCUUUACCAGAAAAGUCAGUGCUUUUGCUGCAAGGACAGCGACCUGGGGCACCAGUCUGGGACCACGUUCCCAAAUGUCUGUGACCUUUCGCUUAGGGGGUUGUUUUUCCAGGUGUUUAUUUUACAGAUUGUGUUCUCUCUGCUUUGGCUUCAUUCUUAAGACAUUUAAAACUGGAGCCGAGAACGAAGCGAAGCCCUUCCGCAGAGCCGCGGCCUUCUCCUGCAGUUCCAGCAGUUUCCUUUCUGGAACAUCCUCUGCCCUCCCCCCGUAAAGGAAGCUGACCUAACCCCGGGACGCCAGGACCUGCCGCUGCGCCUCAAGGACUUGAGAGACACCCGGGGCCCGGGCGAGGCCUGAGGGUUUGGAAACGAAAAUGGCGCCGGGUGGGGGUCCCGGCCCCGGUUUCCACGCGGCUAAAGCGGCGGCGCAGAGAAGCAGCGGGCGAGGCCGGGCGGGGCGCGGAGACGACAGGGAGGGGCGGCCGGGACACCGGGACAAAGGCUGGGGGAGGGGUGCGGCCCGAGCCCUCACCCACCCCGCCCCGCGCAGGGAUCCGCGGGCCGUGAGCCGCCUGCCUGCCUUUGUGAGGCGUCGGCUCGCGGGCGGGCGCUGCCGGUUCUAACCGGCUCCAGCCGGUCCCAGCCGCCUCCGGGAGCGGUGGCGGUUGGCGCAGCGCGCCAGUGCGCAUGCGCGCCCCGCCCCCGGGGCCUGAGCGGGUCCAGGGAAGUGUGUGGGCGCGGGGCGCGGGGCGCUGGCCGCGGGCUUCCCGGUCGACCCUCGGCUCCUGCCCGCCGAGGGCUGCCGCCCUCCUUCCGUUUCCAGCCCCGCGUGGCCCUUCUUUCCCCUCUCCUGUCCUUUGUCAUUCCCUCAUUAUCGUCUCAGUCACCCACUAAUUAAAAAUUCACACAUCACCCCCUUGUAAUUAGCAAAUGCCAUGUUUUAUUGUAACGUCCCUUGGGUGUUGGUCUGUCAGCAGGUCGCCUUCGUCUGAAACGCUGGCGGUGGCGAGGGCUCCGACUGGGCCAGCAGCCAAGAAACAAGCAGUGAGAGAAAAUGGAGAGAGCUCCGGGCGCAGCGUCGUUUAAAGCCUGGAGCCCAGGACAGGAUGGGGUGGUGACACCCACCCUCCCCUCCUCUCUCACCUCCAGGGUCUUUAUUCUAGAACCUCCGAAAUGGCCUGUGUUUGGGCAAUAAAUUCAAGAGAGGAAGAAGGAGUUUAGUGACGUGGUGUUGGUUAGGAUGGCAAUUAAAUAGUGAUGGGCCGUGUCUAAACUUGCUACCCUGUAUUUUAAAAACCCCUUAGGCUCCUGUAAGUGACAGUGGCUGUGACAAGGUGGGGGAGCCGGCCUGGGGGUCGCCUGGGGGUCUCGUAUGCUAAUGCCCCACCUUCCCCUCACCCCCGAAGAAGCAGGGCCUUUAAAGCAGCUAUUCUAGGGUGACCUUGCCAAAAUUAUUCUUGUUUCAUCUUUCUUUCUUCUCCCCGCCCCGCUUGCUUUGAAGAGUGGAAUAUUCCUGAGACGCAGACCUUCCCUUCAGACACAGUCUUGAUGUUUGCUCUGGGAUUGGAAAAGUUUUGGUAGAACUUGGGCCCUGGAAGGAGGAAAACUGAGUUGGGUCACCUCCUUUUACAAAUGGAAUUUGGGAGCCUGGGGAGUUUGUGAUUUGCCUAAAAUCACACGCAGCUAAUUAGUACCAGAACCGAUUCUGGAAUCCCCAGAUUUGACUUCACGCUGCCGCCCUGUCUCCGCUCUGCGCCCCCCAGCUGCUGCCGUCUCCCAGCCCUUCUGUCCCUUCCCCUUUCUUUCUCCAGGGCUGGGGGUGGAUUUAGGACCCCCUCUGUUAUCUCUGCUCCCUCUCCCACUGUGGAGCCCAUGAAGUAAAUGUUAAGAGCCCUAAGAUGCUUGCAGUAAUUGUCAGUGUCGCUAAACUAGUCAUUUCCAUUCCUUUUACAGAUUAAAGCAUUUUCCUUAUACUGUUAAAAUGGCUGAACUGUAUAUUAUUUGCUUAAUUCGCUCUGGGUUUGGGAAAAGAAAUAGAGAUUUGAAUGAAGCUCAGCACUCAGGAAUCUCUUAUGCCAAAAGAGAUGGCUUGCCAAGGCCGGAGAGAAAAUUCUAAUUGUUUUUCCCCAGUUGGUAAAUGAAAAAUAUUUUAGAGAAGAUUAUGGGCAGUAUUAACCCCCGUUUUUACUGUUUCGGCCCAAACAUUUACUGCCCUCAUCUCUCCUAGCUUUCAUUUCACAAAACUGUCUGGCUGUCUCCAAAAUAUUCGAAUUCCUUCCUUGUUUUUUUUAUAUAGUGAGUUUCUUCUUUUCUGGAAGAUUUAUUUAAACAAGAUAGCCUAAAGUCACCAUGUUCUUUGGUGAGGAGAUUAAUAAUACAUUUGAUUAUGUGCCCUCCUCUCAGUUCUUUGAGCUCAGGAUCCCUUUUACGUAAAACUAAAUUUUUUCAAGGCAUCUUUGCUCUGGCCUGCAUCCAUGGUCCUUUUAGCUUCAGAAUGUCCCAUUGCGUCUGCUCUCUCCACUGGUGCUUCAGCAUUCUGUCUCUUGCCCUGCGCCUCAG